rnacentral:miRNA from 1 species
CCAACGGUCCUGGUUUGCCUGGGACUGGGGACUUCCAGAGCAACGACUGUGAUAGUUCUGGGAAAACUCACAUGGACGG